GUCUCCAAAAGCCUCAUUCUUUCCCUUGGUUUAUGAUAUUCAAUUUGGCUCCUGCUGUAAUGUACACUGAAACCUCAGGCUGCUGAGCUAUCUUGAUGGUUUUAAGAAGACAAUCUGGUGCCUUUACCUGCUAGAGAAGUCACCUAGAAUCCUGUUGUUUAAGAACUACUUAACAAUAUACAUACUGAUCCAUUGUGGAAUUAUUAAGGAAAAUACAUUGAAAUAGGUGGCAUUCUUGUCAAAGAUAUAUAUGGACGGCUAGAUGGAUAGAUAGGUGAAAAUCAUGUUCCAUGGAAGAAGAGUUAGCUCAGCCUGCAACUCAAACAAGUACAGAUAUUCUUCCAUGGAAUGACCAUCAUACUUGGAUUGUAAUAAAAAUGCUUUAGGCAAACUUCUCAUUUCAUCCUUGGCAUAUUAAAAAUAUGACACAACUGUCACAAUAGGUUUCAAGAUGGAUCAUUUUUACAACAAAAACUUCUUUUUAGUUUGCUAACGCAUAGAGAAAAAUGGAUGGGAAGAAGUUAUUAAAGAAAUAAUACAAGAGAAUUUUCAACAGCUGAAAGUAAUCUCAAAUGGUCAAAUUGAAAGGAAUGCUGAAAAGGAUGAACAACAAAGAUCAUGACGCACACCAAAAUAUGAUGAAUUUUCACAGCUUCAUGAAUGAAAAUUUUAAAAAGUUUCCAAAGAGGAAAAAGUGCUGUCACCCACAGAAGAAUGAGUUCACACUUCUCACUAGAAAGCACCAAAAUGCCUUAAAAGAAUGGGUAAUUUGGAAAGUAUAGGGAAAGGUAACUUUCAACCCAUUAUUAUAAAAAUACCUAAAGUUUGAGGUAAUAUGAGUAUAAUUGGACGAGAGCAUGGGAAAUGCCUUUUCUCUACUUUCUGACACCCAAAACCUCAAAUACCACUACAGGGAGAAAAAAAGAAUAGAAAUCAUGCUUUGACUUUAAACUGGAAAUAAAUAAGAAAUUCAGAAGUGUCUGGGUUUAUUUGGAAAUGAGAAGAUCAGUCUGUCAUCAUGUAUGAUAGCAAUUUA
rnacentral:lncRNA from 1 species